AUUUGCUCAUUAGGAGCAGAAGCACAAGUUGAGAACGAUCACGAAUUCAGAAGAGCAUACUCCCUACAGUUGGCUAGAUUGACUUAAGGAAGCCAAACGCUUGAGUUCUCCUGAAGAUGUUGAAGCAUUUAAACUGAACAGUUUGGACAAGGAAUAUCUACUUUGGAAAAUAACUUAUGAGGCAGUAAGCAAUGCAUAGGAUUUUUCCACAACGAUUUGCAAUAUGGUAACAUAAUGCUUUAUGAAGAGUCUUCUGUUGUCACCAUUAUAGAUUGUGAAUAUGCAAGUUUCAAUCGUGUGGCAUAUGAUACAGCAAACCAAUUCAAUGAGAUGGCUGCCAAUUAUCACACAUACCCCACAUAUUCUCGACUUCACUAAAUACCGUGGGGAGCAAGCAGCCACAUUGACCAGUAACCACAAACCAGUUUAUUGAAGAUCUAAAAGAAGAUGAGGUUGUUGUUCAGGUGUGUUGAGACAACAACCCAGGUCCCAGCACAAGCUUCCUUCAGUACCUCUGAAUUUCUUCACAGGGCUGCCUGCAAAAACUGAUCGCAUGCUUUGAUUCAUAGAUACUGCACAAACUACAAAUGGACCUGCUUUGUUUUUAUUGUUUAGCACCAGAUUUUGUGGAUUUACAUUUUAUUAUGUCAUAGGAUUUUCUGUUUUUGAACUUUGUGUUAGUAAUCCUGGUUAAAUUUGUAAUUUUGUAGGUUAAACACAGGUGGAUAUCAGUA